ACGUAGGUGGCAAGCGUUGUCCGGAUUUAUUGGGCGUAAAGCGAGCGCAGGCGGUUCUUUAAGUCUGAUGUGAAAGCCCCCGGCUCAACCGGGGAGGGGCCUUGGAAACUGGGAGACUUGAGUGCAGAAGAGGAGAGUGGAAUUCCAUGUGUAGCGGUGAAAUGAGUCGAUAUAUGGAGGAACACCAGUGGCGAAGGCGGCUACCUGGUCUGUAACUGACGCUGAGGCUCGAAAGCGUGGGGAGCAAAUAG
rnacentral:rRNA from 1 species